rnacentral:rRNA from 1 species
CACGUAGGGCGCAAGCGUUGUCCGGAAUUAUUGGGCGUAAAGAGCUCGUAGGCGGACUGUUGCGUCCGCUGUGAAAAGCUGGGGCUUAACCCUGGCCUUGCAGUGGAUACGGGCAGACUAGAGGUAGGUAGGGGAGAAUGGAAUUCCCGGUGUAGCGGUGAAAUGCGCAGAUAUCGGGAGGAACACCGGUGGCGAAGGCGGUUCUCUGGGCCUUACCUGACGCUGAGGAGCGAAAGCGUGGGGAGCGAACAGG